AGAACGAACGCUGGCGGCAUGCCCAAUACAUGCAAGUCGAACGAAGGCUUCGGCCUUAGUGGCGCACGGGUGCGUAACGCGUGGGAAUCUGCCCCUUGGUUCGGAAUAACAGUUGGAAACGACUGCUAAUACCGGAUGAUGACGAAAGUCCAAAGAUUUAUCGCCAAGGGAUGAGCCCGCGUAGGAUUAGCUAGUUGGUGAGGUAAAGGCUCACCGAGGCGACGAUCCUUAGCUGGUCUGAGAGGAUGAUCAGCCACACUGGGACUGAGACACGGCCCAGACUCCUACGGGAGGCAGCAGUAGGGAAUAUUGGACAAUGGGCGAAAGCCUGAUCCAGCAAUGCCGCGUGAGUGAUGAAGGCCUUAGGGUUGUAAAGCUCUUUACCCGAGAUGAUAAUGACAGUAUCGGAGAAUAAGCCCCGGCUAACGUCCGUGCUAGCAGCCGC
rnacentral:rRNA from 1 species